ACUCCAGCCUCCUUGCAAGCUUGGGGCGCCUCAUUCUCUCCCGUGCCCCUUCUCCCAGCUGGGUCUGAGCCCCCGCCCCCCUGGCUCCUCCGUUCUGCUUCUCCCAGCUUCUCUGUCCAUCUCCCCCAAUGGCCUCUCUCUACACUCUCUGCCUCAGCUUCCAGGUCUCUGCUGGUCCCUAGGAAGCACUUUGACCUCUGCUUCCCCUUCAAAUGCUGUGGAUCAAGCCUCCCCAACCCCACCAUCCCACCAAAGGGGGCUGCUGACCGAGAGAGCUCACUCAGCCAGGUAAGAAAGCAUCCCCUGCCCCCACCCUCACCCCAAAGCCCCCAGUCCCAUCUGGGGCCCUGGGCAGGUCAGGCCCAGCCCCACCCCGUCAGGUUGCCUUCGCCCUGGGUCUGGGAUGCCUGACUCUUUGCCCCUCCCCUGCAGCUCUGGAGUCCUUUGCCCUCCUCUUCCUGCCAAGUCAGGGGGCCCUGACUGCUCCCCUGCCCCCUGUCCAGGCCCUCGGGAGGCUCCCUGAGGCCUCUGGGAAAGCAGGAAUCCACCAGCCCUCCCCCACCCCAGCUGGGAUCAGGACCUUGGACAGAAAAGAGAUGGGCCCCUUUGGAGCAUCUUUGGGGCUCGGUCUCUCUCUGACUCCCUGGCCACCCCCUGCAGGCCUCUGGUCCCCGGUCAUAGCAAUUGAGAGCACCGAACAGAGUAGGUUUGGGGCCUCAGUUUGGUGAACUUAGUCUAGCUCCUUCCCGGCUCUAAGCCCCAGUUUCCCCAUUUGUGAAGCAGAGUCACCAAUAGCUUCUGCCCAGGACUCCUCACCAUGAAGGGAAAUUAUUCCUGUGAAACCUCAGCACAGCGCCCAGGAAGUAGUGAACCUCCUCAAGCAGGCGCUGUAGGGUGGAGGUCAGGGAGCCGCUGGGGAGGGGUGGCCCCUGUAGCCCCCAGGCCAUCCUUCCUUCUCCCCCACACCCCCAUCCCCCACCCCCACUAGGUGGGAGGUGGGUUGGCCCAGAUCUUUCCAGGCCACCAUUCCUACAAGUUAAUGAUCACAGACCUUAUCAGAGCCUUUUGCCAUUUAUAAAUUUAUAAAACAAAAGAGAAAUAAUAAAGCACAUGGGUAAUUAGUAACUAGGUCAGCUCUGCUGAGGAGAGGGGAGGCAUCGAGCUCAGGACCCACCCAGUUCUCCAGGAGACGGGGAGUCCGCCAGCGGAUGGGGAUGUAGAACGGGCAGCCUCUAAUGGCGCCUGCUGGUGAGGUGGGGUGCCUGUGGCCAUACAGGAAAGGGGAGCAGCUCCCACCUCGAGGCUCUGUCUGCCUCAGGUAAGAAAGACCUGGGCUUCCCUGGCUAAACGCAUGAGUCCCUAGGAGGCCAGGAAAGCCCCCAAACCCCAGCUUCGGGCCCUCCUCCCUGGCAGUGCUUCCUGGGCCCCGGAGCCUACCCACUGAGGACUCAGUGCAGGAGUUAGGGUCUGGAGAGUAUAAAUGAUCAGAGUGGCUAAAAAUUUCCACCACCUCCCAGUUCUCCAGGCAUUUGAGUUGUGAACUCACCUGCUUUUUCUCCCAUCUUGGACCCCCCUGGGAAAUGUCCCCCUUGCCCAAGGACUGGGCUAAAGGCCUGGGCUCAUGGGAUUUGGGACUCUGCAGAGGAGCAGUUCAGGGGCUGGAGGCUCAAACCUCCAAGCAAGGACCCCUGGGCUCUCAUGGGCCCUGUCCCCCUUCCCAGCAACUAGGCUAAAGGCUGAAGGUCAUGGGGACUCAACUCAGAAGGGGGGCUCGUUAGGAGCUGAGGGGGGCCCCUCUAGGCUCUCCUGGGAGCGGGGACGGGGCAGGGCUCCUUACUGCAGAAGGGUCUCCACCACGGCUUUCUGGUGGGCCGCCUCCUCAGGGCUGAGGUUCUCCAGCUCUUUGAGGAUGGGUGGCGUGAAGUCUUCCCCAUCGUCGUCCGUCUCGUCCUCGGAGCCCCGAGUCUCCCCCAGCCCAUUGGGCAGCUCAGCCAGCUCCCCUCGACCGCCGCCGCAGGACUCCCCCUUGUCCAGGGGGCCUUCUCCAGCCAGGAGGUAGGGCCCCGGCUCACCCAGUGCCUGGAUCAGUGCCUCUUUGCUCAGCCCUGACUCGAGCAGGGCCGCCAGGAGCUCCGUCUGCAGCUGGCUCAGUUUAGAAACCAUGGCUCGGCUGCCACAGGGCCACGCGGCCCGGGUCCACCACGCUAGCCGCCUCCCCCACCGCGUGGGUUGCGUUUGCCUGCCGGCCGGCAGACACAAACCAAACUCCUUGCACCCACUGCCCCCCCAAAACCCCACUAGCCAAGCCCUGUGGGCACCCCCAACCCCCAACCCUGGCCCCAGCGGCCCGUGAAUCAGGGCCCCUGCCUGUUCUGUUUACAUUGGAGCUGGGGAAAUUCUCCAAGGUUCAUAUUUAUCCGUGUGCUUAGCGAAGGGACUGAACUUUGGACUUCAGCCCUGCAAAGUGCAGGCCUCAUGGCAGCGGAGAGGGACAGGGAGCUAUGGCCUGCGAUGGGAGUGGGCAGAGGGGAGGGUGGGGGAGGCGCAGGUGAGGGGCCCUGAGCAGCUGGGAUGGAAGGUGCUGGGAGCCAGGGAGGCCAUCAGGAGAGCAGCGUUGGGUCCCACCCCCGAAAGAACCUUGUAGGGGCAUCAUGCUGAGACAGGAGAGCCAAAAAUGCUUGCUGCUUACGAGAGCGGCAGCAGCAGGGAGCUCUAGACAGCUGGGCUAGCUCUUCUCAAGGGCAGAGGAUGCUCACGGCCAUUUUGGGGCCCUUCCAUCCAUUUUGGGACCCUUCCACCCCACUCCCGGCCUGACACCAGGCCUCCCUGUAGGAAAAAAUAUGUUAAGAUUACCAUGUGCCAAGAACAGUGCUGGCUCUGUGAGGGCGAAUUCACUUCAUUGCAUUCUGCUACCAACUGUGAGCAGUUACAGAGAUUAUCCCCAUUUUAUAGAGGAGGAAAUCGAGGCUCUGAGCGGUUAAGUAACUUGUCCAGGGUCAUACAGCCAGCAAGGCAGAAAACAUGCAAGGUGAGACUGAGUUGGGAUGAGUGUGACACUUGCCUCAGGUGCAAAUUUAUUUUUUUAUUUUUUGAGCUAUGUUCUCACUUUGUCACCCAGGCUGGAGUGCUGUGGCGCGAUCAUGGCUUACUGCAGCCUUGACUUCCUGGGUUCAGGUGAUCCUCCCGCCUCAGCCACCCAAGUACCCAAGUAGCUGGCACUACAGGCACGCACCACGACACCCAGCUGAUUUUGUGUGUGUGUGUUGUGUGUGUUUGGGUUGUGUGUGUGUGUGUUUUUGAGACAGAGUCUCACUCUGUCACCCAGGCUUGGAGUGCAGUGGAGCAAUCUUGGCUCACUGCAACCUCCGCCUCCCAGGUUCAAGCGAUUCCCCUGCCUCAGCCUCCGGAGUAGCUGGGAUUACAGGCACAUACCACUACACCCGGCUAAUUUUUUUGUAUUCUUUAUUGAGUUGGGGUUUCACCAUGUUGGCCAGGCUGGUCUUGAACUCUUGACCUCAAGUGAUUCGUCCGCCUCGGCCUCCCAAAGUGCUGGGAUUACAGGUGUGAGCCACUGUGCCCGGCCUUGUGUGUGUAUUUUUUGUGGAGACAGGGUCUUGCCAUGCUGCCCAGGUUGGUCUCAAACUCCUGGACUCAAGCCAUCCGCCCACCUCAGCCUCCCAAAGUGUUAGGAUUACAGGCGUGCGCCACCAUGCCUGGCAGCCCAGGUGCAAAUUUUAAGGGAAUGCCAAAAAACCCAGUCAUCAAGGUAAAUAACAUUUUUAUGCAAUAUGUUUUUAAAAUUAAAAUGAAUGCAAAA
rnacentral:lncRNA from 1 species